rnacentral:rRNA from 1 species
GAUGAACGCUGGCGGCGUGCCUAAUACAUGCAAGUCGAACGAAACUUCUUUAUCACCGAGUGCUUGCACUCACCGAUAAAGAGUUGAGUGGCGAACGGGUGAGUAACACGUGGGCAACCUGCCCAAAAGAGGGGGAUAACACUUGGAAACAGGUGCUAAUACCGCAUAACCAUAGUUACCGCAUGGUAACUAUGUAAAAGGUGGCUAUACUACCGCUUUUGGAUGGGCCCGCGGCGCAUUAGCUAGUUGGUAGGGUAAAGGCUUACCAAGGCAAUGAUGCGUAUCCGAAUUGAGAGGUUGAUCGGCCACAUUGGGACUGAGACACGGCCCAAACUCCUACGGGAGGCAGCAGUAGGGAAUCUUCCACAAUGGGCGAAAGCCUGAUGGAGCAACGCCGCGUGGGUGAAGAAGGUCUUCGGAUCGUAAAACCCUGUUGUUAGAGAAGAAAGUGCGUGAGAGUAACUGUUCACGUUUCGACGGUAUCUAACCAGAAAGCCACUGCUAACUACGUG